rnacentral:lncRNA from 1 species
AGUGAUUCUCCAAAUUAGAUUUUAAAAAAUUACUCGGUCCUUCUUUUUUAAUAGAGUGCUUUUAAAAUUUUAGAUUUUAAAAAUUUAUUGUAAGAUAGAGUGAUUUUAUCAAUAGUAAUAUCUUAAAAAAAUUUAUCAUACACCAAAAUUAAUUUUUAACUUUCUAAAAUUACUUUUAAAUCUCCAAAAGUAAUCCCAAUUAAACCUUACUGAGCAUAUGAGAAAAAAAUUACUACUACAAAAAAGAACCUCAACCUAAAGUAACUCAAUCCUCUUUCACUCCAUGUGAGUAUAUUUGGGACCCAAACUAUUUUAUUUCUAUUUAGAGCUAAUGCUUGUCAAUCUCUACCUAUAUAAAUUUAACAAUUAACUAAGGUAGUGUUUGUUUUUUGUCUGAAAUCUAAAUAUAUCUGAAUUUAGUUAAAAUCUGAGUAAAUCUGAAUUGCAUAUGUGUGGAUGACAUGUUUGUUUUUUCUUUUUCAAUAUUUGAAUAUAAGUGACAUCUUUUUUGUUUUUAUAAAUCACAAAUAUAAAAAAUAUGAUUAUUUGAUAUUUAUGUCUUUAUAAGAAUUUUUUAUACUUCUUAUAAAUUUUAAGAGGUAAAUACGUGCACAUUAGAAUUAAAAUCAAACAUAUGUAGAAUUAGGUGGUAAUUGAUCUUUAAAUAAAAAUAUUAUUAUAUUACUCUAAAUGUAAAAUUUAAUCAAACUUAUUGUACUAAUUAAAUUCUUAAAAUAUAAGAAAAUCAAUUAUAUCCGUGAGAAAGUUGAUUUGCGAGUUGAUUUCGUAGCUAUUGCAUGAAGACUUGAUCUGAUGGUCCAAAGACGUUGCUUGCAUUUGUUGGUUUAUUUUCCAACUCAACUUUUUCAUUGUCAUACUUUAAAAAUAAUGAAUCAAUAAUAGAUAAUCUUCGAAGAAAACUGAGUGUUACAAUGCAUGCGAUAACAAUUUUUUGUCUAAGCAUUAAAUGGAUAUGGCGGCAUCCGCUUUAAAAUUGAAAAAUGAGAUUUUAGAACACCAAAAGUGUGCUCAGUAACAAUCCUUAAUUUCGCAUGACUAUCGUUGAAAAUCUCCUCUUUCCCUCUAGCCCGACCACCAUUACGAAAAUCAUUCAACCAAUAAUGUACAUGACGAUAUGGCACCAUAAAUCCUCUAGUAUAUGUAUGUAUAUACCGCAUCAACUAAAUAUAAUUCUUUUGGGUUCAAUAAUUACCAAGAGUUAAUUAUUAGGGAAAAAAUGUCUAACAAUUAUAUUAAAGAAAAAAGAUUACCUGGCGGUGGCAUUGGGAAAUUAUGUUUUGAAUUACGACUUGUUUUUGUCAACACUCUUGAAUCUUGUGUUGUUCUUUCCCAUCCAACAACAACGUACCUAAAUAUCAUGUCAAAGUCACAAAUUGUCAUGAGACUCAUGACAUUUUGAAAGCAUUCCCCUCUUCCUUGACCUUUAUAUAGCACUUGUUUAUCUAUUGGAAUACAUACAUGAAUUAGGGUUACAUCUAUUACACCAACCCUACAAAAGCAAAUAUUAUUAAUAUGAGAAAUAUAUCAAUUAUGUUGCUAUUUGUCAUUGACAAAAGAUAACUUAUAGCAUGUGUUAUGCCACUUAAAUCAUCAUUAAAUAAAGGAAGAGUAAUCAUUUCUUUCGAUAACUUCAUCAUGGCUGCUAAAACCUCAUGGAAGUAUUUAUGCACUGUUUAAGUUAAGUGUUGAAAAAUAUUUCUUACAAGUCGAUUGUGAAGAUUGUGACUAAUUGUCAUCAAGAACAUUUGCUAGUUUUUGCUCAACAAGACACAUGUUUACUAGGGUAUAACCAUCUUUUUACCUUAAAGAAUUGACGUAAAUAAACAAACCUAUUGUUCUCCAUCUGCAUUAAUUCAUAACAUGUAGUAGAUGCUCUACUUAAAAGCUCUUUAGUAAAAUCUGGGCCUAUAAGUUUUGAUGUUGGCAGUCUUUCAAUUUUCAUGGCUAUAAUAAAUCAAGUAUCAAUAGAAUCAAUUGUUUUCGUAGCAAUCUCUUAACCUUUUAUUUCUUAUCAUCAUCUCCUUCACUUAAAAGCUUCCAUAUAAAUAUCUAAAAAAAAAGAAAAAAAAACCACAAUAAUAACAAUAUCUAAAUUUUUUGUAUUAUAAUGUCAUCA